CAAGAAAAGCAUCUUAAUGUAAGAAUUUUUUGAUUUAUUUACUGAAAACAAGACAAAAAUACUAAGAAUUUUUUUUCUUGAAAAUAAUUUUUUGCAGUGUACAACAACUUUCAACAAGAAAUUGUAAUGAAUAGCAGUGACUGUAAUAUGUGUAUUUUAGGUACCCAAGUGGCACUGGGCAGUGUUGAGUUAGUUUUGAUCGGCAAUCGGGGUGGUUUUGUUACACAGACCUGGCAACCCUGUUAGGCAGCCUCCUCAGUUUAUUUAUUUGAGCGGGAGCAACUUCAAGUGCAACGUGCACAUUUAAAGUCACAGUUUGUCUACGUUUGAGUGGAAUGACUGGAAAGAGUCGUUGCAAGGAUCAGACCAGAUGAGGGGACCAAGUGUACUGCCCAAGCUGACACAAGCCGGAAGACAUGAGGUAUCCAGAGAAAGGUGACAAUGUCAGCUCCCAGGUGUCAACCUUACUUCAGCAGCUUAUUGUAUUUGAGUAAAGACGUCAAACUAGAUCAAAUGUCAGCAGUACACCAUUGCCAGCUUUUCUGUCAGGAGUUUUGUGUUUUAUGUAAUACAUUUUAUACAUUGUUGAAAAUCUAUAUUGAGUAUUAAUGAAACUGUAUUAAUAAAAACAUUAAAAUAUUA